rnacentral:rRNA from 1 species
UACGUAGGGUGCAAGCGUUAAUCGGAAUUACUGGGCGUAAAGCGUGCGCAGGCGGCUUUGCAAGACAGAUGUGAAAUCCCCGGGCUCAACCUGGGAACUGCAUUUGUGACUGCAAGGCUAGAGUACGGUAGAGGGGGAUGGAAUUCCGCGUGUAGCAGUGAAAUGCGUAGAUAUGCGGAGGAACACCGAUGGCGAAGGCAAUCCCCUGGACCUGUACUGACGCUCAUGCACGAAAGCGUGGGGAGCAAAUAGG